GUGAAUCAUCAAAUUUUUGAACGCAAAUUGCACUCUCUUCGGAGAGUAUGCCUGUUUGAGGGUCAGCCUAAAAAAAAAUCGACAUAGUCGCUGUUUCGCGGUGACAUUCGUCGGAAAUUGGGUCAUCUUAAACCUUUGGGUUUUAACGGCGUAAAAAUUUUUUUUAGAAUUCAACAAAGGGUCUU
rnacentral:misc_RNA from 1 species